UACGUAGGGGGCAAGCGUUGUCCGGAAUCAUUGGGCGUAAAGAGCGCGUAGGCGGUCCGGUAAGUCCGCUCUGAAAGCCCGGGGCUUAACCCCGGGUCUGCAUUCGAUACGGGCAGGCUAGAGUUCGGUAGGGGAGAUCGGAAUUCCUGGUGUAGCGGUGAAAUGCGCAGAUAUCAGGAGGAACACCGGUGGCGAAGGCGGAUCUCUGGGCCGAUACUGACGCUGAGGAGCGAAAGCGUGGGGAGCGAACAGG
rnacentral:rRNA from 1 species